UCAAUCUCGUGCGGCUAUAUAUACCGCCGGUCCCUCUAAGAAGAUUUUCAUUGUACGCCGGUAGUGAAGACCGCGACACGCCAGCCACCGCGACGNNNACCGCGACGCGAGAACGCCGCGGGAGGCCGACGCGCGCGGGCCCUCGUGAUACCGGUUGCACGUCUAUUUAAUAGGCUAGAGUUACGUUCGUUAC
rnacentral:rRNA from 1 species